GAUAUUUGCAUCUAAAACUUUGGGACUCGGAAUAAUAAUUCAUCUCUGUCACUCCUAUUAUGCAUAAACUGUCUCUGUUACUCCUACAGCAGUUGUAUUGGACUGAUGCGCGGAAAUGCUGCGCGUUGAUCGGACUGUUUUGGGCAUUGUACAUUUGUGUAUGUUUUUACACUCUAUUGUUGACUAUAACCACGUUUUUUUUAUAAUAUUGCUGAUAUCGUGUUGUUAUUCUUGUUAACUAUGAACUCCAAAAAAUAUUGUAAUAACGCAGUCAAGUAAUUAUAUAUUUCGUAUAGGUACUUGUAAGUUAUUUAUUUGAUUUUUGAAAUGUGUGUUAUUGAAACAUAAAAUGGAAACUGAGGAUCAUGUUGAUUUAUUUUGUAAUUAAGAAAUUUUAUUUUUUAUUAAUAAAAAAAUUUCAAAAGAUCAAAUAAUACUUUGUACUCAAAGGUGGAAAAUAAACGGUUUAAGAAAUACAUACUCUGCGCAUGCAUUUCCAGGCUGCGACACCCGUCACCACUAGUGCUAUUUUCGGGAAAGGUAAAAAAGCUAUUAUUAAAUUAUUAGAAAAGAAUGAAGACUUAAGAAUAACUGCGAAAGAAUUCUGCAACUUCGAUGUUAGUACUAAAAAUUUAGAAGAAGCUGCAAAGAAAAUAAUUUUGAAAUUAUAUGGGAUAAAUGAUGAUGACAUGGAUAUGGGUAAUAUUCGUUAUAGACGUGUUGUUGCUUUAUCAGCUCAAUCACAAGCUGAAAUUCGACUUUCAAGCUUACCUCCAACUACUUCAGCUUUAACUCAACACGCAAAAAGAGUUUAUUAUCAAAUGCAAUUAUGGUUAGGUAAUAAUUUACAACCACAAGAAUGGGGUUGGAAACGGCUCAACAUAAUGAUGGUUCCAGUCAUGACCACUGAUGAUGCGGCUCCGAAGGAAUUAUUGAAUCAGAUGUUCUGUGGCUGCACCGGUAAUUGUACAAACAAGCGUUGUACAUGUCAAGAAGCUCGUAUACGCCGUUCCAAUUAAUUAUGAAAAUAAAAUUAUAAAUAAUCCAACU